UUUAUGGAGAGUUUGAUCCUGGCUCAGGAUGAACGCUGGCGGCGUGCCUAAUACAUGCAAGUCGAGCGAACGGACGAGAAGCUUGCUUCUCUGAUGUUAGCGGCGGACGGGUGAGUAACACGUGGAUAACCUACCUAUAAGACUGGGAUAACUUCGGGAAACCGGAGCUAAUACCGGAUAAUAUUUUGAACCGCAUGGUUCAAAAGUGAAAGACGGUCUUACUGUCACUUAUAGAUGGAUCCGCGCUGCAUUAGCUAGUUGGUAAGGUAACGGCUUACCAAGGCAACGAUGCAUAGCCGACCUGAGAGGGUGAUCGGCCACACUGGAACUGAGACACGGUCCAGACUCCUACGGGAGGCAGCAGUAGGGAAUCUUCCGCAAUGGGCGAAAGCCUGACGGAGCAACGCCGCGUGAGUGAUGAAGGUCUUCGGAUCGUAAAACUCUGUUAUUAGGGAAGAACAUAUGUGUAAGUAACUGUGCACAUCUUGACGGUANCUAAUCAGAAAGCCACGGCUAACUACGUGCCAGCAGCCGCGGUAAUACGUAGGUGGCAAGCGUUNUCCGGANUUAUUGGGCGUAAAGCGNGCGCAGGCGGUUUNUUAAGUCUGAUGUGAAAGCCCCCGGCUCAACCGGGGAGGGUCAUUGGAAACUGGGAGACUUGAGUGCAGAAGAGGAGAGUGGAAUUCCAUGUGUAGCGGUGAAAUGCGUAGAUAUAUGGAGGAACACCAGUGGCGAAGGCGGCUCUCUGGUCUGUAACUGACGCUGAGGCUCGAAAGCGUGGGGAGCAAACAGGAUUAGAUACCCUGGUAGUCCACGCCGUAAACGAUGAGUGCUAAGUGUUGGAGGGUUUCCGCCCUUCAGUGCUGCAGCAAACGCAUUAAGCACUCCGCCUGGGGAGUACGACCGCAAGGUUGAAACUCAAAGGAAUUGACGGGGGCCCGCACAAGCGGUGGAGCAUGUGGUUUAAUUCGAAGCAACGCGAAGAACCUUACCAGGUCUUGACAUCCUUUGACCACUCUAGAGAUAGAGCUUUCCCUUCGGGGACAAAGUGACAGGUGGUGCAUGGUUGUCGUCAGCUCGUGUCGUGAGAUGUUGGGUUAAGUCCCGCAACGAGCGCAACCCUUAUUGUUAGUUGCCAUCAUUNAGUUGGGCACUCUAGCGAGACUGCCGGUGACAAACCGGAGGAAGGUGGGGAUGACGUCAAAUCAUCAUGCCCCUUAUGACCUGGGCUACACACGUGCUACAAUGGGAAGUACAACGAGUCGCUAGACCGCGAGGUCAUGCAAAUCUCUUAAAGCUUCUCUCAGUUCGGAUUGCAGGCUGCAACUCGCCUGCAUGAAGCCGGAAUCGCUAGUAAUCGCGGAUCAGCACGCCGCGGUGAAUACGUUCCCGGGCCUUGUACACACCGCCCGUCACACCACGAGAGUUUGUAACACCCGAAGNCGGUGNNGUAACCUUUUNGGAGCNAGCCGNCNAAGGUGGGACANAUGAUUGGGGUGAAGUCGUAACAAGGUAGCCGUAUCGGAAGGUGCGGCUGGAUCACCUCCUUUCUAAGGA
rnacentral:rRNA from 1 species